rnacentral:rRNA from 1 species
UAGGGAAUCUUCGGCAAUGGACGAAAGUCUGACCGAGCAACGCCGCGUGAGUGAAGAAGGUUUUCGGAUCGUAAAACUCUGUUGUUAGAGAAGAACAAGGACGUUAGUAACUGAACGUCCCCUGACGGUAUCUAACCAGAAAGCCACGGCUAACUACGUGCCAGCAGCCGCGGUAAUACGUAGGUGGCAAGCGUUGUCCGGAUUUAUUGGGCGUAAAGCGAGCGCAGGCGGUUUCUUAAGUCUGAUGUGAAAGCCCCCGGCUCAACCGGGGAGGGUCAUUGGAAACUGGUAGACUUGAGUGCAGAAGAGGAGAGUGGAAUUCCAUGUGUAGCGGUGAAAUGCGUAGAUAUAUGGAGGAACACCAGUGGCGAAGGCGGCUCUCUGGUCUGUAACUGACGCUGAGGCUCGAAAGCGUGGGGAGCAAACAGG